CUACGGGCGGCUGCAGUCGGGAAACUUCUGCAAUGCGCGCAAGCGUGACAGAGCAAGCCAGAGUGCGUUUCUAUAAUUGAAACGCUUUUGUGCGAUGUAAGAAGUCGCACGAAUAAGGACUGGGCAAGACCGGUGCCAGCCGCCGCGGUAAUCCCGGCGGUCCAAGUGGCAACCACUUUUGUUGGGUCUAAAACAUCCGUAGCUUGCCUUAUAAGUCUCGUGUGAAAUCGGGCUUCUCAAGGGUCCGGCGUGCACGAGAUACUGUUUGGCUAGGGACCGGGAGACGUGAAGAGUACUGACAGGGUAGCGGUAAAAUGCGUUGAUCCUAUCAGGACUAACGACAGCGAAGGCACUUCACGAGAACGGAUCUGACAGUGAGGGAUGAAGGCCAGGGGCGCAAAGUGGAUUAGAUACCCCUGUAGUC
rnacentral:rRNA from 1 species